UGGCUCAGAACGAACGCUGGCGGCGUGCCUAACACAUGCAAGUCGAACGAGAAAGCCGGGGCAACCUGGUGAGUACAGUGGCGUACGGGUGAGUAACACGUGGGUAAUCUACCUCCUUGUGGGGAAUAACUUUGGGAAACCGGAGCUAAUACCGCAUAAGCUCGAGAGAGGAAAGCAGCAAUGCGCAGGGAGAGGAGCCCGCGGCCGAUUAGCUAGUUGGCAGGGUAAAAGCCUACCAAGGCAAAGAUCGGUAGCCGGCCUGAGAGGGCACACGGCCACACUGGCACUGAAACACGGGCCAGAGUCCUACGGGAGGCAGCAGU
rnacentral:rRNA from 1 species